UUUGUAACAGACUUGAUCUAAUAUAUGAAAAAUUUUACAUGGGGGAUAUUUAAGGUGCAUUCAAUUAGAAGAAUUCAUCCUCCAAUCCAACUUUCUUUAGGGAAACAAAAAACCUAAAAACAAUAACAACAACAAAAAAACACUGAGCUGCCAGGUUCUUGGUAAAUUUUUUUCAAGAGUGUUAAAUGCAAACAUCUUUGCUUGAUAUUCAUCUUUGGCAAUGACAAUUUCAUCACAUAGACAACAUGAAUAAAAGAUAUUAUUCUCAGUCAUUAGCAACUCAGUCAGGGAAAAGAGAAAAAUUGGACAUUUAAGAAUGCUUUACUUUUCUGUCAUUUCAGACUAAAUGCCACUCUUAAAUGAUGGCUAGUCAAACCUACAGAAUCUAUUAGUAACUUGAAAACAAGUGCGAAGGGAUGCCAAAACCCCAAGGAAUCUUAAACUUGCAUUUGUCAGGCUUGUCACAUCAUUGCUACUGGUAAUAAAAGCAUUUUUGUUUUAUGUUGCAAUGUCUAUGGAGAAUAAUAUUUUCAUGGUCCAGAGUAAAAAGUGAUAUUGCAGCAUUCAUCACCUAUUUUGAAAUAAAAUAGCCUAAAAAGGUGGAAAAUUGACAUUCAUUAUUUUAGGGCUAAUUUAAAAAGCUGAUGCAUUUAUGGACAUUUUCCUGGUUGCUCUUUAUAAAGUUCAAGUGUUCAGUAGUCAUUCAAUUUUCAGAAGCAUGUCCUUACAUGGUUUUCAUGAAUUUUGUUGAGUUCUCAGAAGUAAAUGCUUGGUUUUAAUGAUGGUAGUGAUACCCAACCAAAUUUACCCGUGUACUUAUUUUCCUAUAAUCACUCCACUGCUGGUUCUGUCACAUUCAAAGACCAACUAAAGAAAGAAUUGUCAUUUUUCAAGUUCUCUAAGAUUUACCCAGAGUCCAAACUUCCACUCCUUUCUUUCUUUCUUUUUCUCUCUUCCAGGUCUCAGAAGCACUGAUCUGAUGAAAGAAAACUCAAUUUGGGAGUCCAAAAAGAGAGCAGACUCUAAGGGUUUCAGUGUGAUGCUGUCCCAUCUUGGUGAGUGCAGAGCUCUACAUCUGGAAAAACAAACCUCAGUGUCUCUGAAAAGGGACAAACACAUCUAUGGGUUGCAUGUACUCCUAGGAUGUAGAGGAACUGAAGACAAAACAACACUGCUCCUAAAGGUGGGUCCUCCAUGCUGUUUUGUUGAAUCUUUGCAACUCUUAGAGAUGGAAGGUAUUGUUUUAUGCCAUGUCUAUAGAUGAAGGGAUUGAGAUUGAGGGAGGUUAGGUAACUUACGUAAGGUCAUAGCCACAGAAGGGGAGGUGCUGAGGCUUUGAUGAGACAUGUGUGCUUCCUCACUAUACUUUGCUGACUCUUAGAACACAGUGGAUCUGUGUUACCCAAGCUUUUGCCACUGCACGCUCCAGAAAUCACCCUUGCCAAUUCUGUCACCUAAUCUCUUCACAUGGAGGGAGUCAGGUAUCAUAGGAAACAUUAAAAAAAAAAAUUGGGAAUUAGCACGCUGGAGUACUUUUCCAGUCCCCUCCCUGCUGUUUACAUAAAAUGACUACUAUGUAAUCAAGUUAUUUUACUAACUCAGUUGUUUUAACUGCAUCACCACUCAUUUAACAGUUGUACUCCUUUCUUGAUUUUCAAAGUAAGAACAGGUCAGUUGCUACUCUGGAACAUAGAUUUAUAAUUCUAAAAAAAUACGAAACCACCAGAGUUUCAAUUUCUCUGUUAAAAAGGAGGUGUAUGCAAAAUGGGUGGGAGAUGGGAAAGAGAGGAGAUAACGACUUACAUGAUAAAUAGAAGGACUGAGUGAGAUAAUGCUCCCCAAAUAUGGUCAGUUGCUACCUAGACACUUCCCCCGCCCUGGUUUGGGCUAUUUAUUGAAAUCCCACUGUGACCCGUGGUGACAUGGACACCAUCUCCUCUUUUUUUUAACCUUUCUACAGCCUAUACUUCCUUUGAGACUGAGAUGAAAUUUUUUAAAACUUAACUCAUAAUGAAGAUGAUGAUUCUAAGAGUCGCUAGCCUUUUUUAGUCCUUAGAAUGUUGCAGUUGCAGCGACAGCAGUUAUUUGCAUGGACUCAUUUAAUAUAACCCUUAUAGCAGCCUGGGCAGUUAGGUAUAUUUCACAAGUGAGGAGACUGUAGCUGGGGAGGAUCAACCCACUGUUCAAUAUCACCUAGAUACUAAUCCCCGAGCAAGGAUUCAUACCCUUGUUUAAGACCAGACUCUUAAACACCAUGAUCCUGAACCACUUAACUAGUUUUUCUAUUAUUUCAUAGAUUAUGUAUUUAAUAGUGAAUAAUGAUAUUUAAUAAAUAUUACUCUUAUACAUUGAUAUGGAAUACA
ensembl:lncRNA